rnacentral:lncRNA from 1 species
AUUGCUAGCUACUCGACGGUACAAAGCAAUUCAAAUUAGAUAAAAUUUAAAUAAAAAAUUAUAUUUAUCAUCAGGAGCAAUAUUAGUUCUUCUAAUUUAAACUUUAAGUCAUUUAUUAUUAUUUUUUUCAUUUAUUUUGAGACUACUCAGUCACUAGACAAAUAAAGUCAAAAAAUUAUAAAAUUUGAUUUCUAGAUAAUUUCAAUAAGAGAUAACUUCAAAAAACCCCCCCUGUGGUUUUGCAUUUUCUCACUUUAGUACCAUGUGGUUUAAAGUGUAUCAAUUUGUCCCCCUGUAGUUUUAUUAUCAAUUUUAUUAUUAUUUUUUCUUAAAUCAGUGACAAAGUUAAAAAUUAAAGGAUACUAAAGUAAAUAUUCGAUAAAUCUAUGUGGGUAUCUGAAGUAUUUUUGUAUAUAGUUUAACGAAAUAUUAAGAAAAAAGCUGUCGAAAAGAUAAAAACAAAACCACAAGGGGGCAAAAAAAAAUUUAAAAGCAUGUAGGUCUCUGUGCUUUCAAAAGCAUAAUAGCCUUGCUCGAUAUAAUAAAACUCUUU